CUGCCCUGGAUAUGUUUUAUACCUUAAAGAUAUUGAAUUGUCUGUUGAAAAGUUUGAGAUGUUAGACAUGAAAAUGAUACUGGCCCUUUUAUUUUGAAGCCUGUGAUGGCAGAGGAAAACAGGAAACAGGAAGUAGGAAGAACUGUAAAAAAAGAUGUAAGGUGUGGUUGCAUGUGGGCAGUUUCUGCUGUGCAAUCUAAUUCAAUCCAUGGUGUGCAUCCUUCAGAAAGCAAUGGCUUUUCACUCCAAUUCAAUGUUGUCAUCUUGACUUAUCUGUGGUGUAUGAAGUCAUUAAAGGAGCAAGCCCGCUCUCUUACCUGACUCUUGAAAA